GAUGAACGCUGGCGGCGUGCCUAAUACAUGCAAGUCGAACGGACAGAUAAUAAGCUUUCUCCUCUACCGGUAGCGACUGACGGGCGGGUAACACGUAGAUAACCUACCUCUAAUUCUUGGAUGACUUCGUAAAACCGGUUCUACUACCACCUAAUAUGUUGUACCGCAUGGUUCAAUAGUUAUACACAGCUUUCCCGUCACUUUGAGACGAAUCCGGAUUAGCUAGUUGGCUGGGUAAAGGCCCACCAAGGCAACGCUCCGUAGCUGGUCUGAGAGGAUGAUCAGCCACACUGGAACUGAGACACGGUCCAGACUCCUACGGGAGGCAGCAGUGGGGAAUAUUGGGCAAUGGGCGCAAGCCUGAUCCAGCCAUGCCGCGUGAGUGAAGAAGGCCUUCGGGUUGUAAAGCCCUGUUGUUAGGGAAGAAAAGCAGCAUGUGAAUACCCCGCUGUUCUGACGGUACCCAAAGAGUAAGCACCGGCUAACUACGUG
rnacentral:rRNA from 1 species